UGAAGGUGAAAGACACUGUGAGAGACUCUCAUCCACACAUAUCUUCCAGGACGCUCCAUGCAGUCAUAUUAGUGCUCUCUCUGAAAGAAUUUUUCUGCUCAUCUAUCACAUCUAAGAAGUAGAGUGACAGCAGCACAUUCCUUUGAGAUUGACCCCACCAUCUCAGAGAAAGCAACAUGAAGCUGACACAUUUUAAGGAAAAGAAAGUGAAAGUUUUCUCAAAUUAAAUGUGAUUUGUAUGAAGAAAACAAAGCAAACUGGAAGAGGAAGAAUACUGAAGCACUGAGGAGGAGGAGGAAAGCAUUUGGAGAAGAAGAUAAACAAAUUAAACUUGUAUUAAGGAUAUGUAUCAAGAUGUAGUGACUUUCAUUUCAAGAGGCUGAUGCUUGUUCUCUUUUAUGCUGCCCUCCCCUCCCUCCCCACAUCUUUCUAAAGAAGCUGGGACUAGAUGACAUGGGAUAUAUCAUCACUUGCUAACUGCCCUGUUCUUUUCAUUCCCUCUGAAGCAUCAGACACUUGCCAAUGUGAGAAGACAGGAUACUGGGUUAGAUGGACCAUUGGUCUCACCUAGUUUGGCCAUUCUUAAGCUCCUAAAUUAUCUGCUUUAAAGACUAAGAUUUUUGAGGCCUUCCAUAUUUUGUUCAUAGUUCAUUAUAUUUUCUAUGCCACUUGGUUAAUA